GGAUGAACGCUAGCGGCAGGCUUAAUACAUGCAAGUCGAACGAGAUUUCCCGGUUCGCUGGGGAUGAAAGUGGCGCACGGGUGCGUAACGCGUAUGCAACCUACCUUUAACUGGGAGAUAGCCCCGAGAAAUCGGGAUUAAUACCCCAUAACAUAACGAUCAGGCAUCUGGUUGUUAUCAAAGUUCCGGCGGUUAAAGAUGGGCAUGCGUGGCAUUAGCUAGUUGGUGAGGUAACGGCUCACCAAGGCUACGAUGCCUAGGGGACCUGAGAGGGUGAUCCCCCACACUGGUACUGAGACACGGACCAGACUCCUACGGGAGGCAGCAGUAAGGAAUAUUGGGCAAUGGACGCAAGUCUGACCCAGCCAUGCCGCGUGCAGGAUGACGGCCCUAUGGGUUGUAAACUGCUUUUGUACGGGAAGAACCCCUUCGAUUCUUCGGAGGCUGACGGUACUGUACGAAUAAGCAUCGGCUAACUCCGUGCCAGCAGCCGCGGUAAUACGGAGGAUGCAAGCGUUAUCCGGAUUUAUUGGGUUUAAAGGGUGCGCAGGCGGAAUGGUAAGUCAGUGGUGAAAUCUCCCGGCUCAACCGGGAAACUGCCGUUGAUACUGCCGUUCUAGAGUACAGUUGGGGUGGGCGGAAUGUGUCAUGUAGCGGUGAAAUGCUUAGAUAUGACACAGAACACCGAUCGCGAAGGCAGCUCACCAAGUUGUAACUGACGCUCAUGCACGAAAGCGUGGGGAGCAAACA
rnacentral:rRNA from 1 species